ensembl:lncRNA
GGGCACGGCGUCGGUUGGCCUCACCAAGCAGGCCUAGGCUCGCGGAGCGCGGGGCCCGGCGGAGUCCCUGUGCUCGCCCGCCAGCCUGCCAACUACUCCCCACACUCACCAGGACCGCUCGCUCCCGGGUUCGUUACCGGCGGCCCAAAGCGGCUACGAGCCAACCAAGACAGCGCUCAGUCACCGGCUAGCUCUAGUUUGGGGCUGGAACGUCCUGACCACGGCGUGAUGACGUUACCCGGAGGUCUGUGCCCGCCCCGUGCCGCCCUCAGCCAAUAGCUACCACCGCUCGGCUUGAACCGCCCUCUACUCGCCCCGCCUACGCAACCGCGUGUGGGCGUGGCUGGCAAGCCGGAAGCUGGGCUUGGACGGUGGCCCCAUGGGGACAAGUGUCGCAAGCCUCGCAGCCCUUUCUGCGUGCGUACAACGUAGUUUUGACUCAGUGUACGGUAGUCAUUAGCCCUAAAAUGGAAAGUCUAGAGACAGGAGUUGUGCGGCUGCGCGUUGUGCUGUGACGUAAAAGAAAAGAAAAAAAGAAAAGGUGCGUGUGUGGCGAGGAGAGUGGGAUAAAGAUGAAUCCUCCCCUGGAAGGCUUGCUUAGUGAAUAAACUUGGAAUGGCGCACCUUGCGUGGGGAACAGCGAAAGCCGACGAAAGGAAGCAGGAAAUACGCGUCGCUUGGAGAAUGGGAGUAGCCAUUGGACUAUGACUCUGGAAAGUUCAACGAGUCAAGUGAUUUGCCCACAUCAACACAGCGAUGCCAGGACUGGGGCCCAGAGGCAUCCAACCAACCACUGUGUGAGACUCUUCAGGGUAUAUCCCUGGUGCUUCUGUAUCCUACUGCCAUUCUGUCACAUUCAGCUUGAGGAUCCUGCUCUACCAACGUCCGCUACAGAACUGUUGAUCUUCCAGAGUUGUGCUACGCAGAUUACUUCUUUUUGUGGACUUUGUGUCUGCAGGGUUUAACUGAACCAAGUGUUGCCUGGGUAAAGGUUUCCACACAUCUUAGUUACCUGUUCAUCUCUUUCUAAGCUUGUUCCCUAAAGGGUCACCUGGUCAAGAGAUGUGGUUUCCAUUUUCUCACAUGUAAGCAGGGUUUUCUUUUUUGUUUUAUUCACAUAACUGUUGAUUCACAGCAGCAUGUUUUGAGAACCUUUUCCCUGGUUUUCCAGACUACUCCAGUCAACACCCAUUUUAAUGUCACAAUAACUAGGUAUUAGAGAGAGGGAAGUAGCACAAUUGUGUUGUUGAAUCAUUAGAAUUUUAACAAGUUUAUCAAUUUGUCUUCAGGUUUUUGCUUCCUCGUAUGUUCGUCUCAGCUGCUUAUUAAAUUGAGUUUGUCUUUUUGUUAGAGAAAUUGAAGCUUUUGUGAAUUAUGCUUAUCUAUUAACACUAAUAGUUUUCUUUGUCAUAUGUACUAAUUCUUUUUAACAAAACUUCAUAGGUAUCGUUAUAUAGACAAUACAUUUCCCUUUUGACUCUUCCAUGUUUCUUUGUUUUACUUUAUAAUUUAUUGACUGCUUUAUCUUUUCCUGUCUGGAUCUGUGGUAUCUUCUGUAAGUUUCCCCCUCUAGAUCACCCUGGAAGCACUACAAGCAAAUAUUAUUCUACUAUGUCUCCGAGUACGUCUGUCUCUUUCCUGAUACAAACUUAGGUUUUUUGACAUCUUGUGCUGAGUUUGAACUGCUAGGAAGCAAGCUGAUUCCACACACACAGUUCCUAAACCCAACCAGCCUUGCACAUUCCACACUGGACUUGACUCUGUUCCUGUGGAUGCGUGUUUAGAUUUGGUGCUAGGUUUCUUCUCUUCUGGGGAUCGGCUUCUUCUCUUGUCAGGAUACACAUAUGACUUUCAGAACCAGAUCAGUGCUGAGCCUGGACAAGAGGAGAGCUGCCUUUCAACCAGCAGGGAAGGGGUCUCUCUAGUCCAGUUGGGACUUCCUCUCAGUUGGCUUGGAUAGCUCAAUUGAUAAGGCUCCUGACCCUGAAUCUGAGAGUCCAGGCUUCAGUUUCCUGCUACCUUUAGAGGUGGCUUCUGGAAGUUUAAUAGUGGCUCAGACUGUGGCUUAGAAUUCAAACAAAAGAACAUUAAGAAAAAUAAAAUAAAAAGGAAGAAAGAAAUCA